CCGCUGUACCACUUGCUGUGAUUUCCACGUUAAUUAUUUUCUUUAAAUUCUCUUUCUGUACUUUCGGUGGAUUUUUCAUGUCCUCUUCUAGCUGGCCCCCUGCAACUUCGCGAUUAAUGAAGUCUAGUAUAUGCCGCAAGUUCCUUAUUACCAGUUCUCCCUCUCUCUGUCCUGUGUGCUGUCACUGCAAAAGACAAAAAUAUGUCUGUCUGCCCAGUGAGUGAGUGAGUUCUUACUGAGGCUCUGCUUGCUGAACACUUUCACAGUAAUCUGUCCUACCAUUUAUAUUCUCAUGCAGUGUGAGCUCACCAUUGUAUAAAUUAAGAUUUUUAAAUAAUGCCUCUUCAUG